GUGAGGAAUAUUGGGCAAUGCCCGAAAGGGUGACCCAGCAACGCCGCGUGGAGGAUGAAUGUCGUAAGAUUGUAAACUCCUGUUAGAGGGGAAGAAUAAUUCCGAUCGACUCGGAAAUUGACUGUACCCUCAGAGAAAGCCCCGGCUAACUACGUGCCAGCAGCCGCGGUAAUACGUAGGGGGCAAGCGUUGUCCGGAUUUACUGGGUGUAAAGGGCGCGCAGGUGGGUUGACAAGUCAGAGGUGAAAUCCUACAGCUUAACUGUAGAACUGCCUUUGAGACUGUCAAUCUUGAGUACGGAAGAGAGAGAUGGAAUUCCAGGUGUAGUGGUGAAAUACGUAGAUAUCUGGAAGAACACCAGUGGCGAAGGCGGUCUCUUGGUCCAAUACUGACACUAAGGCGCGAAAGCGUGGGGAGCAAACAGGAUUAGAUACCCGAGUAGUCC
rnacentral:rRNA from 1 species